rnacentral:pre_miRNA from 15 species
CAGUUCGCAUUCGAUUUGAAGCGCACUUAACAAGAACUUUUUCUGUGACCUGCGUGAAUUCCUAUAUGCAAACCGCAUCACAGUCUGAGUUCUUGCUUAGCGCGCACUUCGCACAGCAACAUAAAAA